rfam:Gossypium arboreum cultivar AKA8401 contig_5478_7, whole genome shotgun sequence.
UAUUAAAAUUUUCAUCCAUUUCAACUGUUAAAGCUGACAUGGCUAAUAGAAUAACCAAAUAGUUACACAUGACAUGCCACAUGUACCUUAUGCUGACAUAGAGGGACCAACUUUUAGCAGUAAAAAUGGAUGGAGUUUUUAACA